rnacentral:miRNA from 1 species
AACCUCAUCGACCAGAAGGGAUUCCUUCUGGUCGAUGAGGUGUAACAACCUCAUCGACCAGAAGGGAUUCCUUCCAGUCGAUGAGGUG